ACUCCUUUCCUUGGCAGGGGAGGGCAUGCGGUCCCCGUCCUCAUUAUGUACGGAGGCAGAGGGAAAGGGCUCCGGCCCCUUUGGCGUCGUCGUGUCUUCGGUGCUGGCAUCUUCCCAUCCUCCGGCUCUGUUCUCAGUCACCUGGUCUCGG
rnacentral:snoRNA from 1 species